rnacentral:rRNA from 1 species
CAGUCGCCGCGGGAAUACAGAGGGUGCGAGCGUUAAUCGGAUUUACUGGGCGUAAAGCGUGCGUAGGCGGCUUUUUAAGUCGGAUGUGAAAUCCCUGAGCUUAACUUAGGAAUUGCAUUCGAUACUGGGAAGCUAGAGUAUGGGAGAGGAUGGUAGAAUUCCAGGUGUAGCGGUGAAAUGCGUAGAGAUCUGGAGGAAUACCGAUAGCGAAGGCAGCCAUCUGGCCUAAUACUGACGCUGAGGUACGAAAGCAUGGGGAGCAAACAGGAUUAGAUACCCGUGUAGUCCCUGUCUCUUAUAC